UCUACCUUUUGGCUCUAUGCUUCUAUACUUCUCUGUUCCCUUUGUGACCUCAUCACAUGUGUCCUUACUGGUUUCACAUCAGUCCUCUGCAAAAAUGUUAUUUCGAUGAACGCAAGGCCGAGACUAUCUUGUUCACUGUCAUAUCAUCAGCCCCUAGCGAAAUGACUAAGUAUAUAGUAAGAGCUUAAGAAGUAUUUAAUGAAUUGAAUUGAAAUUGAAAUUCCAUAUUCCCUUUGUAAAAGGCAACUGUCCUUGAAAUGAGCAACACGCUAAACCAUGUUACACUAAAGCUAUAUAUUCUCAGGCAAAAUCCUAGAAGGCAAUGUUGGACAAGAAAGUUAUGUACAAAUGGUAUAAAGAAGCUUCAAACAGUAUGGAUGUCUUUGGUUGAGAUUAACUGGAUAUGGUUUCUCAUUACAAAGUUAAAACGUUGUGAAGAGGCAAGAGUGAAUGACGGCAUUACAUCACUAACCACCAGCCACCAUCUUUUGGACUGAAAUGAAUGAAAUCCAUUGAAUCAAUGAAGUCAUGUUAUACACCUCAGAAUGACAAAUUUGGGAACUGAAUCUGGAUCUGCUCUAAUGGUACUCUUUGGACUGUGUCAAAGUUUUAUGGUUCACUAAGGAGGGAUGGGGAGCAGAUAAAGAUUAUGGGAAUAAUUUUUUUUUUUUUUUUUUUUUUAGUGGCUAAGGGAACCAAAGUGUCUGAGAUGAUAUCUCUUCGCUUACUGUCUGUCAUUGGAACUCACUCUUUGAAUAUAAAGAAUGGGAAUAAGUUAUCUCUGGCUCUUUAUCAAUAAAUUCGGGUAGUCACCUGCCUUUCCUGCUACA
rnacentral:lncRNA from 1 species